UUAAAAAGCAAUUAAAAUUGAUACCCUUAAACCCUCGCAUCAUUCCAAAACCCCAAACCCAAGUCUACUAUUUCCCCCGCCGUUCGCCACCGUGUACAGCCGGAAAAAUGGAAAAACCCAAAAAGAAGAAGAAAACCCUAACCCCAGAAAUCCAAUUCCGUUUAACCCUAGACAAUUGCUCGAAAACCAAAGACCUUUCAACCGCAAUCUCCUUAUACGAAUCAUCUCUUUCAACAAUCCGUUUUACCAAUAACCAUUUCAACUCAUUUCUCUACAUUUGCUCCAACGCCGUUUCGAACCCGUUAACUAAAACCGCUGCAAUUGAAUUUGGGUUUCGAGUAUUUGAACAAAUGGGUUUAUGUAAUGUGAGUCCUAAUGAAGCUACUGUUACGGCGGUUGCUAGGUUGGCGGCGGCGAGUGGUGAUGGUGAUAAAGCGUUUGAGUUAGCUAAAGGAGUGGGGAAGAAUGGGAAGUUGAGGACUUAUGGUCCGGGUUUGUUUUGUUUUUGUGAAAUGGGUGAGGCUGAUAAGGCGUAUGAAGUGGAGGAGCAUAUGAGGUUUAUUGGGUUGCAGCUUGAGGAAGCUGAGCUUAUUGGGUUGUUAAAGGUGAGUGUGGAGAAAGAUAAGGAAGAGAAGGUUUAUCAGUAUUUACAUAAACUGAGAACGUCAAUCAGGAGCAUAAGUGAGUCGGCAGCAGAAAUCAUACAGAGUUGGUUUGGAGGGGAAAUGGCAACUAAGGUGGGGUUACCCAAUUGGGAUAUGGAUCAGGUGAAAGAAGCAAUUUUACAAAAUGGGGGGGGAUGGCAUGGUCUUGGAUGGCUUGGGAAGGGUAAAUGGCUUGCACAGAGGUCCCAAAUAGCUCCAGAUGGGAGGUGUCUAACUUGUGGGGAACAGUUGGUUUGUGUUGAUAUUGACAGAGCAGAGACAGAAAGAUUUGCGGAGUCAGUUGCUUCUUUGGCUAUGGAAAGGGAAGUCCAUUCCAAUUUCAAAGAAUUUCAGGACUGGUUGGAAAAGCAUUCAGAUUAUGAUGCUGUAGUGGACGCAGCAAAUGUUGGGCUCUAUCAGCAGAACUUUGCUGAGGGUGGAUUUAGUAUUCCACAGCUUGUUACUGCUGUGAAAGAAUUGCAUAGCAGGAGCAACAAGUGGCCACUGGUUAUAUUACACAAUAAGCGUGUUCAUGCACUUCUUGAGAAUGCUGGCUAUAGAGAGUUGCUUGAAGAGUGGAUAAAUGAAAAGAUACUUUACGGAACACCUUUUGGAUCCAAUGAUGACUGGUAUUGGCUUUAUGCAGCAGUGAAACAUAAGUGUUUGCUCGUGACAAAUGAUGAAAUGAGAGAUCACAUCUUUGAGCUCCUGGGUAGCAGCUUUUUCGCCAGAUGGAAAGAAAGACAUCAGGUCAAGUACACUUUUGUUAAAGGGGAGAUUAAACUUUUGAUGCCACCCACAUAUUCUGUUGUCAUUCAGGAAUCCGGGAAAGGGUCGUGGCAUGUGCCUCUGGCGGGUGAGGUCGUUGAGGAGUCUUCAAGGACUUGGCUCUGCAUCACCAGACAAGCUUCAUGUGAAUCCGACAAUAAACUACAUGCAAGCGUAGUAGAAGCUUCUCGAGUUAGUGAACUCGAUCAAAUUGCAGCCCCUUGCCAUUCAGAUAGUUUUACAAAUCAGAAUGGCGGCUUAAAUGGAUGUUCCGGUUUGGCUGGUAAGAGGAAAGAGAGGUCCCCAUCUCCAUCUCCAUCUGACACCAGUCUACAAUCUUGAAAAUUUGAAGGUGAUACCUUUUCAGAACCUUGCCCAACUGCAUGCAUUACCAGUGUACGCUGUUGUAAUUGAGAAAGAGCAUACAUGUUUGUUGUGGGAACAAGUGAAGGUGAACAAACCUUUAAAGGAAGCAAGUAACGAAGAGCCAUGUAUCUGCGAAAGCUAUCCAUGCUGCUCAGGACAUUAACUUUGCCAACAAUGACUGGUUUCCCUUGCUUGUCGAUAUAUGGAUGAUUGCUGAAGUGAUGGAAUGCAUACUCCUGAAGCCAUGUAAACUCUAUUGGAUGUGACACUGACGUUCCAACAUGGUAUAUCAUUUGACUCCCUCUUUGGCCUGCCUGAGCUACCAUUGUUACUAUCAUCGCAUUCACCACCAUAUCUGCUGGAAUCUGCACAUAGUUAAAUUCUGUUAUUCGAGCAUAUUGAUAUUGAGACAUCGUUACUUGUGUAAGCAUUUACUUACUACGUCAAUAAUGGAAUCAGGGUUGCCGACGAAA